UACGUAGGGUGCAAGCGUUGUCCGGAUGUAUUGGGCGUAAAGAGCGUGUAGGCGGCUGGGUAGGGCCGUUGUGAAAACUCGAGGCUCAACCUCGAGACGUCGAUGGAAACCGUAUGGCUAGAGUCCGGAAGAGGAGAGUGGAAUUCCUGGUGUAGCGGUGAAAUGCGCAGAUAUCAGGAGGAACACCGAUGGCGAAGGCAGGUCUCUGGGCAUUAACUGACGCUGAGGAGCGAAAGCAUGGGGAGCGAACAGG
rnacentral:rRNA from 1 species